rnacentral:rRNA from 1 species
CCUACGGGUGGCAGCAGUGGGGGAUAGUGCACAAUGGAGGAAACUCUGAUGCAGCGACGCCGCGUGAGGGAAGAGGGUCUGCGGAUGGUAAACCUCUGUCUUUGGGGAAGAAAAUGACGGUACCCAAAGAGGAAGCUCCGGCUAACGACGUGCCAGCAGCCGCGGUAAUACGUAGGGAGCGAGCGUUGUCCGGAAUUACUGGGUGUAAAGGGAGCGUAGGAGGGGGAGAAAGUUGAAUGUUAACUCUACCGGCUGAACUGGUAGCUGCGUUCCAAACUUCUUGUCUUGAGUGAAGUAGAGGCUGGCGGAAUUCCUCGUGUAGCGGUUAACUGCGUAGAUAUUAGGCGGAACCCCAGUGGCGAUGGCGGCCUGCUGGGCUUUAACUGCCGCUGAGGCUCGAAAGCGUGGGGCGCAAACAGGAUUAGCUCCCCCUGUAGUC